rnacentral:rRNA from 1 species
UCAGACGAUGCGUCAUGCAUAUCAAUAAGCGGAGGAAAAGAAACUAACAAGGAUUCCCUUAGUAACGGCGAGUGAAGCGGGAAGAGCUCAAAUUUGAAAUCUUCAAGGUUUUACCUUGACGAAUUGUAGUUUAAAGAAGUGUUUUCUGCUGAAGUUUUGGUAAAAGUUCUUUGGAAUAGGACAUCAUAGAGGGUGAGAAUCCCGUAUUUGACCAUUAUUUUCAGCUUUGUGAUACACUUUCAAAGAGUCGGAUUGUUUGGGAAUGCAGUCCAAAAUGGGUGGUAAAUUUCAUCUAAAGCUAAAUAUUGGCGAGAGACCGAUAGCGAACAAGUACCGUGAGGGAAAGAUGAAAAGAACUUUGAAAAGAGAGUUAAACAGUACGUGAAAUUGUCAAAAGGGAAGCGUUUGACACCAGUGUUGUUUUCUCGAAAAUCAAUUAAAAAGAGUUAGAUUUUGUUGUGUAUUGACCUUAACAGCUUGCAUUUCAAUUUUCUUGCUUUUUUUAAUGCACUUUUCGUUUAACAAGUCAACAUCAGUUUCUUUUGUUGUAAAAAGGUCAUUGGAAGGUGGCUUUCUUUUCGGAGAAAGUGUUUAUAGCCUUUGACUCCUGCAAUCGGAGAGACUGAGGUCUGCAGCGUAGAUCCUUCGGGGUUAGAUACACUUGUGCUAAGUUUAUGCUUUUCAUAGACAACUUGUUGACUAUGAUUAGUCAUGCUAGCUUACUAGCUUAUGCUAUUUUACCUACGCUUAGGAUGUUGAUCUGUAGUGCGUGCGC